rnacentral:rRNA from 1 species
UCAGGAUGAACGCUAGCUACAGGCUUAACACAUGCAAGUCGAGGGGCAGCAUCAUUAAAGCUUGCUUUGAUGGAUGGCGACCGGCGCACGGGUGAGUAACACGUAUCCAACCUGCCGACAACACUGGGAUAGCCUUUCGAAAGAAAGAUUAAUACCGGAUGGCAUAGUUUUCCCGCAUGGGAUAAUUAUUAAAGAAUUUCGGUUGUCGAUGGGGAUGCGUUCCAUUAGGCAGUUGGCGGGGUAACGGCCCACCAAACCAACGAUGGAUAGGGGUUCUGAGAGGAAGGUCCCCCACAUUGGAACUGAGACACGGUCCAAACUCCUACGGGAGGCAGCAGUGAGGAAUAUUGGUCAAUGGACGAGAGUCUGAACCAGCCAAGUAGCGUGAAGGAUGACUGCCCUAUGGGUUGUAAACUUCUUUUAUACGGGAAUAAAGUGAACCACGUGUGGCUUUUUGUAUGUACCGUAUGAAUAAGGAUCGGCUAACUCCGUGCCAGCAGCCGCGGUAAUACGGAGGAUCCGAGCGUUAUCCGGAUUUAUUGGGUUUAAAGGGAGCGUAGGCGGGUUGUUAAGUCAGUUGUGAAAGUUUGCGGCUCAACCGUAAAAUUGCAGUUGAUACUGGCGACCUUGAGUGCAACAGAGGUAGGCGGAAUUCGUGGUGUAGCGGUGAAAUGCUUAGAUAUCACGAAGAACUCCGAUUGCGAAGGCAGCUUACUGGAUUGUAACUGACGCUGAUGCUCGAAAGUGUGGGUAUCAAACAGGAUUAGAUACCCUGGUAGUCCACACAGUAAACGAUGAAUACUCGCUGUUGGCGAUAUACGGUCAGCGGCCAAGCGAAAGCAUUAAGUAUUCCACCUGGGGAGUACGCCGGCAACGGUGAAACUCAAAGGAAUUGACGGGGGCCCGCACAAGCGGAGGAACAUGUGGUUUAAUUCGAUGAUACGCGAGGAACCUUACCCGGGCUUAAAUUGCAACUGACUGAACCGGAAACGGUUCUUUCUUCGGACAGUUGUGAAGGUGCUGCAUGGUUGUCGUCAGCUCGUGCCGUGAGGUGUCGGCUUAAGUGCCAUAACGAGCGCAACCCUUAUCGAUAGUUACUAGCAGGUCAUGCUGAGGACUCUAUUGAGACUGCCGUCGUAAGAUGUGAGGAAGGUGGGGAUGACGUCAAAUCAGCACGGCCCUUACGUCCGGGGCUACACACGUGUUACAAUGGGGGGUACAGAAGGCAGCUACACGGCGAUGUGGUGCUAAUCCCUAAAGCCUCUCUCAGUUCGGAUUGGAGUCUGCAACCCGACUCCAUGAAGCUGGAUUCGCUAGUAAUCGCGCAUCAGCCACGGCGCGGUGAAUACGUUCCCGGGCCUUGUACACACCGCCCGUCAAGCCAUGAAAGCCGGGGGUACCAGAAGUACGUAACCGCGAGGAGCGUCCUAGGGUAAAACUGG